AUUCUGUGAUGAGGACGUUUUCGUAAUAACUCUUUGAAUCUUUCCCAUGCCUCAUACAAGGACUCAUCAUCCAUUUUUCGGAAAGCGGUAAUCUCAUUUCUCAGCUU
rfam:Gossypium hirsutum cultivar TM-1 scaffold6355.1_1, whole genome shotgun sequence